rnacentral:rRNA from 1 species
UACGUAGGGUGCAAGCGUUGUCCGGAAUUAUUGGGCGUAAAGAGCUCGUAGGCGGUCUGUCGCGUCUGCUGUGAAAACUCAGGGCUUAACCCUGAGCUUGCAGUGGGUACGGGCAGACUAGAGUGGCGGUAGGGGAGACUGGAAUUCCUGGGUGUAGCGGUGAAAUGCGCAGAUAUCAAGGAGGAACACCGGUGGCGAAGGCGGGUCUCUGGGCCGUAACUGACGC